rnacentral:rRNA from 1 species
UACGGAGGGUGCAAGCGUUGUCCGGAUUUAUUGGGUUUAAAGGGUGCGUAGGUGGCCUGUUAAGUCAGGGGUGAAAGACGGUAGCUCAACUAUCGCAGUGCCCUUGAUACUGAUGGGCUUGAAUGAACUAGAGGUAGGCGGAAUGUGACAAGUAGCGGUGAAAUGCAUAGAUAUGUCACAGAACACCAAUUGCGAAGGCAGCUUACUAUGGUUUUAUUGACACUGAGGCACGAAAGCGUGGGGAGCGAACAGG